GUCCUAAGUGUGAAUAAAUGAACCCAUUAUAGUUCCAGGCUGGCCUCCAACUCACAACAAUCCUCCUGCCUCAGCCUCCCAAGUGCUGGGAUCAGCUAUGCGUCACCACACCGGGCUUCCCAACCUCUCUCAUGUUUUGCCAGAGUUAUCGGCAUGACUUCCUUCUCGGGCUCUAUCUGUCCUAAGUGUGAAUAAAUGAGAGGCCAGAGGACAUGGCCAACAUAUUCCAAGUCAGCUCAGUUUCCGCUCCAGUCUCGGCCCACAUCACUCCCCUUCUGGAACUCCUGAUGUUGUAUCUGCCUUUGAGGAGCUGGCUCAACUUUCAGUUCUUCCAAGAGCUUCAAGACCUGGCCACUGCUUGCCUGGCUGUUGCGUUGUCCUAUGGACUCCAACGGCUUCCAUCAGCUCCAGAGAGUAUUCAGUGGGCACAGAGGCUCCACCUGCUCCCUUCGCACCCACUGGACACCUUCCUGUUUCCUGUCGCUUGAGCCCAGUGCACACAGCAAGCCAGCGUCCCUGCUGGACAGAAAGAGCCGGAAGUAUGGGGGCCGCCUUCACCUGCUUCUAGAAAUAAACCAUAGGACGAGCAUGGUGCGACGUGAACUGGCUCUGUACACUAAGUGCUGAGAUGGAGCCCUGGGUCGUGGUCAGUCAGCAUGAAACAGAAAGACAAAAGGAGCUAUUUCUGCCGGCGUGGUGACAUGUGCCUGUGAUCCCAGCACUUGGGAGGCUGAGGCAGGAGGAU
rnacentral:lncRNA from 1 species